AGCGGCGAACGGGUGAGUAAUACAUCGGAACAUGCCCAGUCGUGGGGGAUAACACUUCGAAAGAAGUGCUAAUACCGCAUACGUCCUGAGGGAGAAAGCGGGGGAUCGCAAGACCUCGCGCGAUUGGAGUGGCCGAUGUCAGAUUAACUAGUUGGUGGGGUAAAGGCCUACCAAGGCAACGAUCUGUAGCUGGUCUGAGAGGAUGGUCAGCCACACUGGGACUGAGACACGGCCCAGACUCCUGCGGGAGGCAGCAGUGGGGAAUUUUGGACAAUGGGGGCAACCCUGAUCCAGCCAUUCCGCGUGAGUGAAGAAGGCCUUCGGGUUGUAAAGCUCUUUCGGCAGGAACGAAACGGCGAGCUCUAACAUAGCUCGCUAAUGACGGUACCUGAAGAAGAAGCACCGGCUAACUACGUGCCAGCGGCCGCGGUAAUACGUAGGGUGCGAGCGUUAAUCGGAAUUACUGGGCAUAAAGCGUGCGCAGGCGGUUGUGUAAGACAGGUGUGAAAUCCCCGGGCUUAACCUGGGAACUGCGCUUGUGACUGCACGGCUAGAGUAUGGCAGAGGGGGGUGGAAUUCCACGUGUAGCAGUGAAAUGCGUAGAGAUGUGGAGGAACACCGAUGGCGAAGGCAGCCCCCUGGGCCAAUACUGACGCUCAUGCACGAAAGCGUGGGGAGCAAACAGGAUUAGAUACCCUGGUAGUCCACGCCCUAAACGAUGUCGACU
rnacentral:rRNA from 1 species